CUCCGUUGUCGCGGGGCUUCCUUUUUCUGCCAGCAGUGGCACUAGAGGGAGGCGGAAGGCAGGAGGCCGAAGUAGGGACCUGCCCCAUCCUCGUUUGGCAGCUGGAUCCCAUCAGAAUUGCCCUCGAAUUGGCCCUUUGUCCUGGUGGCAGCAGCUGGUCGGUGCCUCGCUAGAGGGGCGGGGCCUCAACUCUGCAGGCUCCUCCUCCGAGCUCCUGGAAUCCCGUAAUCCCACCGUUUCUUGUGGUUGCUACCUCCUCAGGGCUCCCUUUACAUUUUGUCUCCUUCUUAUAGGUCUUUAACUGAUGUCUUUCGGUGAAUUAUCGCCAUUGAAGUAUCUAGCACAAUUCCUGUUUUCUUAACUGGACCCUGAUUGAUGCAGUGGGGAAGAUCCCUGGUCUGUAGGCCCCAAACCAAGUUGGGGAAGGCAGAGAACAAACCGGUGAAAGGGCAAAUGGUAAAAGGGCCACCAGGAAGCACACCUUCAGGAAACACCAUUUCUGUUCUAGUCCAAAGGGCACCAUCCACCUGGACCAGAAUGUGAGAUGCCCUUUGGAGUUGCACAGAGGUCCUGCCUCUUUCCACCUGCACUGCUGUCACCCUGGCCCGGCCGCCACCCUCUCACUGUAUUUCUGCAGCUGAGACCUAGGUCUUAUGCAAGGGAAGGCCCAGGCCAGGAGGGGCCUCACAGCAAGAGUGAAGGAUGCCGCUUGGACAAAAGAGGAGGGUGGAAGACUGGAUGCCACUGAGAAGCCCUUCCAUGCCCAGGAGCUGGUGCGGCAUGAACUUUGGGAGUCCCCAGAGCCUCUGACCUCCCCUUGUAAACCAGCACCGUAUUCUGAUUGGCUGUCUCUGCCUGCCUCGGUUUAUUCUUCUUACUGAUCGACCACCUCCUUCCGCCGUGUCAGAUCUCUGUUCCUACUGGGCCAGUCCCCCCACCUGCCACAGGGUCACAUGGGAUGGCCUGGGUUCUGCAAGGCCUCGACGGCUUGCCUCUUGCCACCAUCAGAUUCUUCCUCAUUAAACAAAUGAAUCACAAUCCUAAUUAAUUUGAGCAACAGAAUUUAUGUAACUACUCCCAGCAGGAUGUCUGCUCUCAGUCGGUAGCAAGAUUAAUUCCUCUCUCUGGGAAAUUCCAGCCGUGCUGGUCAAUAAAGCUUUAAUGGUGACUGAAAUCUCCCAUCUGUCUCUGCUCAGGGCAGGUAACCCCUGCUAACCAGACACCCAGUGGGCUUGAGGCAGUACCCCAGACACCGAGAAGACAAGGACAAGAACUGCCCGGCCUAGAUGGGUCCUGAGCCAUGUAGAGCUCACAGUAGGUGUUCAGUUAAGGAUGGGGGACUGCCCAUUCCAGGGAUGUUCUGAAUCUCUUAAAGCCCACAGGAGGUGUUCGAUUCGAUUUAUGGAAUGAACGAAAGAGACUGUGUGUUGCUCAGGUCCUUCGUGAAACAGCCUCAAGCUCCUGAACUGCAACCAAGCCCCUCUCUGGCUCUUUCCACCAUGUACUCCCAUUACUCCCCAUGACCAUACCCACGUCAGUCUUUUUCACUAUUUCGAACUUUCUGGACUCAGAGACUUGGCUCUUGAUGCUCCCUGCCCUUGAACUGUGCCAACCCUUUCUCUCCAAAACAGGCCCCACGCUGGCUGCAUGGGAGGGAAGCGUAGUGAAGUGGAAAGUCUUCCGGAAUUAGUUCUAAUUCUGGCUCUGCCACUUACUCCUUGUACUUCACCUCUCUGUUCUUAACCUCUCCCUCCUUUGUGAACCACAUGAGGUACUUAGGAAGAUUAAGUAAGAAAACAGUGCAAAUGUAUCGCCUGGUACUUGGCUCAUUUAAUGUCAGGCAAUGGUGACACAGCAGCACUCAAGACAAGAUUCCUGCUCCCAAGGAAUUUAAUUUCUUGGAGACAAUAAGCAAUAAAGCAAAUAUGUAAGUUUAAUUAGGUGCUCAGAGAAAAUAAAAGAGAAAAAGUGUUAUGGAAAGUGACUGAGGGGACCUCUCUGAGGGGAUGCCAUUUUUGUGGAGACCCAAAAGCCAGCAGGAAACAAAACAUGAGGAUCUGGGGGCACGGUGUUCCAGAAACAGGGAAAAGCAAUGGCAAAGGCUCUGGAGAUACAAGUGACCUUUGUUUGAUUAAUGGGCUGAGGUUCUGGAGGAUUGAAGAGCUUGCCCAGUUACCCAGCUGGGAGGUGCCAGGGUUGGGAUCUGAACCCGUGUCUUUGGGCUUUAAGCAUGGAGUGUUUA